rfam:Schistosoma mansoni strain Puerto Rico chromosome 4, complete genome
GUCCGGCUGACAAGUCCCAAAUAGGACAAAACACGCGUCCUGGAU